rnacentral:rRNA from 1 species
CAAUAGCGUAUAUUAAAGUUGUUGCAGUUAAAAAGCUCGUAGUUGGAUUUCUGGUGGGAGCGAUCGGUCUGGCGCUUAGCGCGAGUACUUGCAUCGUCUCCGGCCAUCCUUGGGGAUAGUCUGUCUGGCAUUAGGUUGUCGGGCAGAGGAUCCUCAUCGUUUACUGUGAAAAAAUUAGAGUGUUCAAAGCAGGCUUAUGCCGUUGAAUAUAUUAGCAUGGAAUAAUAAGAUAGGACUUUGGUACUAUUUUGUUGGUUUGCGCACCAAAGUAAUGAUUAAUAGGGACAGUUGGGGGUAUUCGUAUUCCGUUGUCAGAGGUGAAAUUCUUGGAUUUACGGAAGACGAACUACUGCGAAAGCAUUUACCAAGGAUGUUUUCAUUAA